rnacentral:rRNA from 1 species
UACGGAGGAUGCGAGCGUUAUCCGGAUUUAUUGGGUUUAAAGGGUGCGUAGGCGGUCGGAUAAGUUAGAGGUGAAAUCCCGAGGCUCAACUUCGGAAUUGCCUCUGAUACUGUUCGGCUAGAGAGUAGUUGCGGUAGGCGGAAUGUAUGGUGUAGCGGUGAAAUGCUUAGAGAUCACACAGAACACCGAUUGCGAAGGCAGCUUUCCAAGCUAUUACUGACGCUGAGGCACGAAAGCGUGGGGAGCGAACAGG